GUGCCGGCCCUCCGCGACGGCAAGCCGUGAACCCCGCCAGGCCCGGAAGGGAGCAACGGCAGCGGUGUCGCUGGGUGCCGGAGUCAGCUGGUACGGG
rnacentral:SRP_RNA from 2 species